rnacentral:lncRNA from 1 species
AUGUCCCCCCCCAGCACACGGGCCCACACCCACGGAUCUCCAAACCAGCGGCCGUGGCACGGUGACGACAGUCCCAAGCUGCCACACAAAUACGGUCCUGCUCUGCCGUCGUGCAAACCGACCGCCAUUCAGCACGAGAUACCGGCCAUGACCGUCACUAAGGCUCCCGGUAACCCCGGUAACCACCAGAGGGUGAAUCACCACCUUGCCGACAGCCCUCGCCCCUCUCCCCGGGUCAACUUCAGCCUGGACGCCGCCUCCAAGGCCAAAGCGGACGAGGAGGGCACGAAUCACCUGAGCGGGAGAAGGAGCGUCUCGCCGUCCGCCAGCCCGGACCUGGCCCGUCGGCUGGCCGAGGAGGCGUCCAAGAUGUCCUCCCUCUUCAUGGAGAGGAGGAGCCCGUCUCCCGUGCCGUCGAGUGGAGAGGACACCAACCGGUCCGACAGCCCGCCCAGGAUCGGCAGCCUGUCCAGGGACUCCCAGAUCUACGCCAGCCUGCAGGGCCUGGGCUCUCCAGCGCAGUCCCACUCCGACAUCAGCCAGGACCACCACUGGGCCGAGAGGGAACCUGCGAAGUGCGCUCCGCAAUCGGGACACGCCGCGCCUCUACCGCCGUACAGGAGUGGAGCGUCCCCCGGCCUGGCCAGGCUGCACCGCCUGGACAUAACGCCCUCCCCCAUCAGGGACCCCCGCUGGAGAUGGGGGAGUUUGUGGGGAAGGCCAGCCCCACCCCGCACCGCCAUCAGCCCCCGCAGUACACCGGGGACAGCUGGUCCCCCAGCCUGGAGCGCAAGCAGCAGGCCACGUGCUACGCCCAACAGUCAAGGGACGGCCCAGAGAACCACCGCAGCAGGGGCUACGAGGGACACGCCGCCGAGACGCCCGUCAGCUGGACCUCCCAGCUGCAGCACUGGAGGGAGGAGAGGCAGACGGAGGAGCAGGAGAAAUCCAUCCGGCUUCACGGCACAACUCCUCCGGUUAUCUCCUCCCGAGAGGUGGAUAAGAGGAGAAGGAAUGUAUCGGAGGCAGAACGAGGUGGAGGUGGAGGUGGAGGUGGAGGCGGCAGUGGGGGUGGUGGUGGCACUCCAGGCUUAUCUAAAAGCUCUAGCGGUGUCACCGGGAGCAUCGGGGACAGUUCGCAGUUGGAGAGAGACUGCCUCUCCGCGGAGUCGUCCAGCCAGACCAGCCAGAGGAGCAGCAACGGGAACAACACUGCAGGGGUGCAGGUGUGUGUCUGUCUGUGUGUGUGUGUGUGUCUGUCUGUCUGUCUGUGUGUGUGUGUGUGUGUGUGUGUGUGUGUGUGUGUGUGUGUGUGAACAACACUGCAGGGGUGCAGCAGGUGUGUGUGUGUGUGUGUGUGUGUGUGUGUGUGUGUGUGUGUGUGUGUGUGUGUGUGUGUGUGUGAAUAACACUGCAGGGGUGCAGCAGGUGUGUGUGUGUGUGUGUGUGUGUGUGUGUGUGUGUUGUGUGUGUGUGUGUGUGUGUGUGUGUGUGUUAUUUGAUGGCUCAUUCAGUUAUCGCUUUCUAGUUUUCUAA